GGAUCUUUUAAGUGCAGGGGAAAAAACUGUUCUGGAAUUAUUCCGAUCGAAACGAUACACGCAACUGAUCACCACAGCAACGUCUAAAAAGAACACUCUACUGGAUCACAUUUACAUCUCUCAUCCGGAUUUGUGUCUUCAAUCGGGUGUGUUACAUAGUUAUCAUAGUUAUCACAAUCCUGUGUACUGUAUUUUGCGUAAAUGAUUAGUCUCGUUCUGUACUGUAGUUUUUAUGGUGGAUGGGUAUUGUUGUUUGUUGUGGUAAUUGUUGUCUGUUGUGGUAAUGGUGUGUUGCGUUGUUGCCAUACGGAACCCGAGGCCGCUGAAUGCUAUUAUCGACUACAGCUUUGGAGGCACUCGCCUUGUAGUACCUUGGGGUUGGCGCGUAUGGUUGUGGUAAUUGUGUGUUGCGUUGUUGCCAUACGGAACCCGGGCCAUUGAAUGCUUUAACGACUACUUUGGAGGCGCUGAUAGCCUUAUAGCACCUGGGGCGGCGCGUAUGGUUGUGCUGCAGUUAGAUUGUGGUGUCUAUGGUCAUAUAAAGGUGUUAUGGUCAUAUAAAGGUGUUAUGGCACUGAGCUACGUAGAGAGCACAAUCGCAGGAAGGACGAUGGAGUAGUGUGGCAGCUCCAGGGAGGACACUAGGAAGUUAAGGCAGGAGCAGCAGCAUACAGGACACAGUGAGGAUUAGUGUGGCAACUCCAGGGAGGACACAGACAGUGAGAGCAACAUCGGCAUUGCAGGAAGAUUUUGGAGACAGUGGCAGUCCUCUCCAACACUGGAUAUGAGUGUGCAAUAUACCAUCUAAAGCUAAGUGUUAAAAGAUCUCACUUCAGUCACUGUACUACUGCACAUGAUAACCACAUUUAAAGGAAUAUUUUAAUCUAAUUUUGAUUUUCAUGUUUUUCAGGAACCGACUAGUCGGAAUGUCUGAGAAGAUCAAGUGUGCUACAGCACUGAUGACGAGCUGGAUACCAGCUUAUGUGUUAAUUUCUUUCAAGGACGGGACCAGAUGUGUUUGGAGUAGAGGACAAUGCUGACGACUGAAUAAGCAAAGGAAGAAGCACAUUAAAGCACUGAGGGUGUCCAGCCUGUUUGCCGUGUCAGAUCCAGCGGCUAGAUGGCAGGAGAUGCCUCAUUACACCACUGAUCACAUCUAAUCAUUAGAUGAUCAAUUAAUUAAUUUUAAUAUAUUUAUAAAUUGAUCUUAUUAUCAUAUUAAAUAAUAGGUUUCAAUUUAAUAUUUCAUAUAUUAGCUUAAAUAAGAAUGUUAUUAUAAUGUGUACGCCAUGCCAGAGGAGGAUGGGUUCCCCCUGAUGAGUCUGGUUCCUCUCAAGGUUUUUUUUAUCUCCUUAAGAGUUUUUUUCUUGCCACCGUCGCCACUGGCUUGCUCACUGGGGGUGUUGUGUCAAAUCCUGUGUCCCUCUCGGGUCCCUGCCGAACAGGGUUUCCAAAACAACAGUUUGCGAGUCGAUGAACAUUUUUAUUAUUAAUUAUAUCAUAAAAAUUUAAAUAAACACAUUUAAUUUGAAAUAGAAAGGAAGUCAUGUUAUGGAUUAGUCACUUAAGAUAAAGCAGUAAGCCCUGUGACGCCAUGGUUUACAGUGCUUUCAGAACUGCUGAGGGGCGUUGUUAAAAAGCCCCUCUGGUUUUCUGAAAUCGCAGGGCUUAUGGGCUUAUUCCUUUUAUAAAUACUUGCUCAGUAGUUCACGGAAUCAUGGACAGUAAUUGAGUAUUUUACAAUUCCUUUGAACACAACAUGCACAAGGUUUACUUUAUACAAUAAUUCAAACACUUUCGCCAGUAUUCUGCCAAAAUUGAAACUGAUGUGUUAGAAAUGCUGGAAGUGAAAAAAAGUUUUAAGAUUUGAAAGUGAAGGACUUGAAACAAAAAUUAACAAACAAUUUAACAAAAAAAUUAGAUACUAUAAAUAAAAAAAUGAAUAAAUUAUAUUCCUCUAGUAAAAUUGUAUUAUUGCAACAGUAAAGUAUGUGAAAGUGAAGAAUUUAAAACAAAAAAAUAGUAUUGUGUAAAACAAGUUAAAUCAAAUAUAUAAUUUUCUCCUAUUAAAAUUUUAUUACUGCAAUAGUAAGGUAUUUGUUUUUAUUUUUAUCAUCUUGGAGUUAAUGCAGAUAUUAGAUCAUUUUAAUAUGAAGUUAAAAUAAUAUUUAAAUGUGAGCUAGUAUGACAUUAUAGGGUGGGAUUUGGCACAACAGGCGUUUUCUAAAUCUUUUAAUAAACAUUUUGGUUGAAUUGGCA